UCCUAGCACACGAUUAUCAGCCUUUCCUUAACAGGGCGGGUAACCUUUUCAAAAUACCAGUUUGAUUUUAAAGCUUUGGGUCAAUUAGGGUGAUGGUUCGAUAGAACCAAUAUCACCCAGCUGCUACUCGUGCGCGCGUGUUAUUCCUGGUGACUCAUGGUGGGGACCGACAUUUGUAAUUGUCUGUCGCGUGUUAACCGGGAAUGCCUUGUACUGUCGAUUCACUAAGUUAUGGGGAAUACGUCCCUGCCCUUUGUACACACCGCCCGUCGCUCUUACCGAUGGCUUUGGCUGCGAGUAAAAGGGACUUUCGUUUUGGAAC
rnacentral:rRNA from 1 species